rnacentral:rRNA from 1 species
AGAGUUUGAUCCUGGCUCAGGAUGAACGCUGGCGGCGUGCUUAACACAUGCAAGUCGAACGGUGAAGCAGAGCUUGCUCUGUGGAUCAGUGGCGAACGGGUGAGUAACACGUGAGCAACCUGCCCCGGACUCUGGGAUAAGCGCUGGAAACGGCGUCUAAUACUGGAUAUGAGCUUCAGCCGCAUGGCUAGGAGUUGGAAAGAUUUUUCGGUCUGGGAUGGGCUCGCGGCCUAUCAGCUUGUUGGUGAGGUAAUGGCUCACCAAGGCGUCGACGGGUAGCCGGCCUGAGAGGGUGACCGGCCACACUGGGACUGAGACACGGCCCAGACUCCUACGGGAGGCAGCAGUGGGGAAUAUUGCACAAUGGGCGGAAGCCUGAUGCAGCAACGCCGCGUGAGGGAUGACGGCCUUCGGGUUGUAAACCUCUUUUAGCAAGGAAGAAGCGAAAGUGACGGUACUUGCAGAAAAAGCGCCGGCUAACUACGUGCCAGCAGCCGCGGUAAUACGUAGGGCGCAAGCGUUAUCCGGAAUUAUUGGGCGUAAAGAGCUCGUAGGCGGUUUGUCGCGUCUGCUGUGAAAUCCCGAGGCUCAACCUCGGGCCUGCAGUGGGUACGGGCAGACUAGAGUGCGGUAGGGGAGAUUGGAAUUCCUGGUGUAGCGGUGGAAUGCGCAGAUAUCAGGAGGAACACCGAUGGCGAAGGCAGAUCUCUGGGCCGUAACUGACGCUGAGGAGCGAAAGGGUGGGGAGCAAACAGGCUUAGAUACCCUGGUAGUCCACCCCGUAAACGUUGGGAACUAGUUGUGGGGUCCAUUCCACGGAUUCCGUGACGCAGCUAACGCAUAAGUCCCCGCU